GUGGUUUUGGCCCAGUGGUAGAGCACUUGCCUAGUACAUGCAAGGCACUGAGUUCGAUCCUCAGUAACACA
rnacentral:tRNA from 1 species